GUCCACGCUGUAAACGAUGAACACUAGGUGUCGUGGGUAUUGACCCCCGCGGUGCCGUAGCUAACGCAUUAAGUGUUCCGCCUGGGAAGUACGGUCGCAAGACUAAAACUCAAAGGAAUUUACGGGGGCCCGCACAAGCGGUGGAGCAUGUGGUUUAAUUCGACGCAACGCGCAGAACCUUACCUGGGCUGGAAAGUCAUCGGAAGUCGGAUGAAAGUCUGAUUUGCCCGCAAGGGAGCCGGUGGACAGGUGCUGCAUGGCUGUCGU
rnacentral:rRNA from 1 species